GACCAGACUCCUACGGGAGGCAGCAGUAGGGAAUCUUUCACAAUGGGCGAAAGCCUGAUGCAGCAACGCCGCGUGAAGGAAGAAGGGUUUCGGCUCGUAAACUUCUCUCAACAGGGACGAAAGAAAUGACGGUACCUGAAUAAGAAGCUCCGGCUAACUACGUGCCAGCAGCCGCGGUAAUACGUAGGUGGCAAGCGUUGUCCGGAAUUACUGGGUGUAAAGGGAGCGCAGGCGGGAAGCCAAGUCAGCUGUGAAAACUACGGGCUUAACUUGUAGACUGCAGUUGAAACUGGUUUUCUUGAGUGAAGUAGAGGUUGGCGGAAUUCCGAGUGUAGCGGUGAAAUGCGUAGAUAUUCGGAGGAACACCGGUGGCGAAGGCGGCCAACUGGGCUUUAACUGACGCUGAGGCUCGAAAGUGUGGGGAGCAAACAGGAUUAGAUACCCUUGUAC
rnacentral:rRNA from 1 species